GAUGAACGCUGGCGGCGUGCCUAAUACAUGCCAGUCGAACGAAACUUCUUUAUCACCGAGUGCUUGCACUCACCGAUAAAGAGUUGAGUGGCGAACGGGUGAGUAACACGUGGGCAACCUGCCCAAAAGAGGGGGAUAACACUUGGAAACAGGUGCUAAUACCGCAUAACCAUAGUUACCGCAUGGUAACUAUGUAAAAGGUGGCUAUACUACCGCUUUUGGAUGGGCCCGCGGUGCAUUAGCUAGUUGGUAGGGUAAAGGCUUACCAAGGCAAUGAUGCGUAGCCGAAUUGAGAGGUUGAUCGGCCACAUUGGGACUGAGACACGGCCCAAACUCCUACGGGAGGCAGCAGUAGGGAAUCUUCCACAAUGGGCGAAAGCCUGAUGGAGCAACGCCGCGUGGGUGAAGAAGGUCUUCGGAUCGUAAAACCCUGUUGUUAGAGAAGAAAGUGCGUGAGAGUAACUGUUCACGUUUCGACGGUAUCUAACCAGAAAGCCACGGCUAACUACGUG
rnacentral:rRNA from 1 species